rnacentral:rRNA from 1 species
AUUGAACGCUGGCGGCAGGCCUAACACAUGCAAGUCGAGCGGAUGAAGGGAGCUUGCUCCUGGAUUCAGCGGCGGACGGGUGAGUAAUGCCUAGGAAUCUGCCUGGUAGUGGGGGAUAACGUCCGGAAACGGGCGCUAAUACCGCAUACGUCCUGAGGGAGGAAGUGGGGGAUCUUCGGACCUCACGCUAUCAGAUGAGCCUAGGUCGGAUUAGCUAGUUAGUGGGGUAAAGGCCUACCAAGGCGACGAUCCGUAACUGGUCUGAGAGGAUGAUCAGUCACACUGGAACUGAGACACGGUCCAGACUCCUACGGGAGGCAGCAGUGGGGAAUAUUGGACAAUGGGCGAAAGCCUGAUCCAGCCAUGCCGCGUGUGUGAAGAAGGUCUUCGGAUUGUAAAGCACUUUAAGUUGGGAGGAAGGGCAGUAAGUUAAUACCUUGCUGUUUUGACGUUACCAACAAAAUAAGCACCGGCUAACUUCGUG